GACGAACGCUGGCGGCGUGCUUAACACAUGCAAGUCGAACGGAAAGGCCCUGCUUUUGUGGGGUGCUCGAGUGGCGAACGGGUGAGUAACACGUGAGUAACCUGCCCUUGACUUUGGGAUAACUUCAGGAAACUGGGGCUAAUACCGGAUAGGAGCUCCUGCUGCAUGGUGGGGGUUGGAAAGUUUCGGCGGUUGGGGAUGGACUCGCGGCUUAUCAGCUUGUUGGUGGGGUAGUGGCUUACCAAGGCUUUGACGGGUAGCCGGCCUGAGAGGGUGACCGGCCACAUUGGGACUGAGAUACGGCCCAGACUCCUACGGGAGGCAGCAGUGGGGAAUAUUGCACAAUGGGCGGAAGCCUGAUGCAGCAACGCCGCGUGCGGGAUGACGGCCUUCGGGUUGUAAACCGCUUUCGCCUGUGACGAAGCGUGAGUGACGGUAAUGGGUAAAGAAGCACCGGCUAACUACGUGCCAGCAGCCGCGGUGAUACGUAGGGUGCGAGCGUUGUCCGGAUUUAUUGGGCGUAAAGGGCUCGUAGGUGGUUGAUCGCGUCGGAAGUGUAAUCUUGGGGCUUAACCCUGAGCGUGCUUUCGAUACGGGUUGACUUGAGGAAGGUAGGGGAGAAUGGAAUUCCUGGUGGAGCGGUGGAAUGCGCAGAUAUCAGGAGGAACACCAGUGGCGAAGGCGGUUCUCUGGGCCUUUCCUGACGCUGAGGAGCGAAAGCGUGGGGAGCGAACAGGCUUAGAUACCCUGGUAGUCCACGCUGUAAACGGUGGGUACUAGGUGUGGGGUCCAUUCCACGGGUUCCGUGCCGUAGCUAACGCUUUAAGUACCCCGCCUGGGGAGUACGGCCGCAAGGCUAAAACUCAAAGGAAUUGACGGGGCCCCGCACAAGCGGCGGAGCAUGCGGAUUAAUUCGAUGCAACGCGUAGAACCUUACCUGGGUUUGACAUGGAUCGGGAGCGCUCAGAGAUGGGUGUGCCUCUUUUGGGGUCGGUUCACAGGUGGUGCAUGGCUGUCGUCAGCUCGUGUCGUGAGAUGUUGGGUUAAGUCCCGCAACGAGCGCAACCCUUGUUCACUGUUGCCAGCACGUUAUGGUGGGGACUCAGUGGAGACCGCCGGGGUCAACUCGGAGGAAGGUGGGGAUGGCGUCAAGUCAUCAUGCCCCUUAUGUCCAGGGCUUCACGCAUGCUACAAUGGCUGGUACAGAGAGUGGCGAGCCUGUGAGGGUGAGCGAAUCUCGGAAAGCCGGUCUCAGUUCGGAUUGGGGUCUGCAACUCGACCUCAUGAAGUCGGAGUCGCUAGUAAUCGCAGAUCAGCAACGCUGCGGUGAAUACGUUCCCGGG
rnacentral:rRNA from 1 species